rnacentral:tRNA from 1 species
GUAGGGGUGGUGUAAUGGUAGCAUAGCAGGCCGUGAUCCAGUCGGUUCGGGUUCGAAUCCCGACCCUUACUCCA